AGUUCUAGGAACGGCAGAGAGCAAACAACUAAAAAUUCGAAAUUUUAAAAAAGUUGCAUUCCAGCAUUUUUUGUUUUGAUAUUAAUUUAUUAAGUUAAAAGUGAAUUUUCUAAAAAAAAUGUGAGCUAACAGUACAAAUUCAGCAAGCAAAAAAAUGUCCAUAAAAAUAAUUUGUAAAAAACCAUUUUUUUUCUAGAUAUUAAGUUGAAAGUUAAUUUUGUAAUAAAAAUGUGUCCCAUAAGGGAAAAUCCAGCGAGCAACAACAAAAAAAAACUUAUCGACAUUAAUAUGUGACGGCAGCACAUCAGCACAGCGGAUCACUAGUCGCACAAGGAUGGAGUCUCUCUUUAGUACACCAAACACCCAAAAGUUAUUCGACUAUUCAAAUACACACAAACACAUUCUGCAACUUUUGCAAUACACCCAAAGGUUAUUCUUCAGCUGAUUUAAUCUUCAUGUUCAUCUUCAAAACGUCUUCAAGAGUUAAAAAGUUGAAUGUUUCAACACUGACUGUGGAUUAUCUUGGUCUUCAAUUUGAGCUUUGGCUUUGACUGUGGCUAAGUCUGGUUCUCUGGGGCUCUAUCUGGGGAUCUUUUCUUUUUCUUAUUUCUCAAUGAUAAUGAAACCAUAUAUUUUGAUACGAUAACCUUAAAUUUUGAUAAUAAUAAAUUAUAUAUUUUGAUA